rnacentral:rRNA from 1 species
UACGUAGGGUGCAAGCGUUAAUCGGAAUUACUGGGCGUAAAGCGUGCGCAGGCGGCUCGGAAAGAAAGGUGUGAAAUCCCAGGGCUUAACCUUGGAACUGCACUUUUAACUCUCGAGCUAGAGUAUGUCAGAGGGGGGUAGAAUUCCACGUGUAGCAGUGAAAUGCGUAGAGAUGUGGAGGAAUACCGAUGGCGAAGGCAGCCCCCUGGGAUAAUACUGACGCUCAUGCACGAAAGCGUGGGGAGCAAACAGG